CUCCUAUCCUUUCUCUCUAUCUAAUUAAAUUUCUAGCUACGAAUUAAUGUUUUAUUUUGUGUUUCAAAUUUCCAUUUAAUCUUAACCUACUCAUUAUGCAGUUCACUUCUGGGCCCCAACCUUCAAAUGGGGUUUAACAAUAAAUUGUAGCCAUAAGACCGAAAAAAUUGAGUUGGAGAUGCUCAAUUUACUUUAUUAUCACGUUAACUGAAAAUUUACCUGUAGUACCAAUGAUGACUAUUUUUAGUCUACUGCUCCCUCCAUCCCGCUUAAGAUGAUGCGUUUUUUCUUUUUAGUUUGUCCCAACUAAGAUGACAUAUUUCUUUUUUUUUAAAACUUUCUCUCUUCAAUUAAUACACCUAACAAUUUUUUUUCACUGCUACCUUUCAUCCACCUUUCCUCUCUCCAAUUAAAUACUUUAACCAAUAACUCUUAAAAUAACGUGUCGGCUAAUGAAUGUGUCAUCUUAGCCGGGACGGAGGGAAUAGUAGAAACUGAUCUACCGAGAUAAAUAUUGUCUCUAUUCAUUGAAGUGUAUUAACUGUAGUUGUGAAGCAGUAUUGAAGAAAAUACUAGUAAUUGAAAAUGAUCACUUUGUUGUCAAAGAAAAAUUGGAACUUAUUCGGUGUGAGCUUGGGAAUGUCAGCCACAGGGAUUGGUCAACUUGCCCGCAAGGCUUGGCACGACUACUACUCUGAGAAGAAUACAACUAAAGCAGAGGAGUAAUGUCACUUGCCAAAUAACAAUACUCCAUCCGUCCCAUAGUAGAUGUCACAUUUUUUCUUUUGGAAAAAAUUUCCUGUCACAUCAAUUAUAAAAUUAUAUUUUCUCUUACCAUUUAACACACAAAACAACAUCUUCUAAAAUCUCGUGGCAUCUCACGGGUGUGCCAUCUUCCUUGGGACGGAGGGAGUAGUUCACUAUUCAAAUAGUGCACCUUUAUUUUACAAUUGCAUGCAUGGUUAUAUAAACUUAAUACUCUGUGUUUCUUCAGUAAUAAUAAAGGCUAUAUUUCUGUAAAAA